UGGGGAAUAUUGGACAAUGGGCGAAAGCCUGAUCCAGCCAUGCCGCGUGAGUGAUGAAGGCCCUAGGGUUGUAAAGCUCUUUUGUGCGGGAAGAUAAUGACGGUACCGCAAGAAUAAGCCCCGGCUAACUUCGUGCCAGCAGCCGCGGUAAUACGAAGGGGGCUAGCGUUGCUCGGAAUCACUGGGCGUAAAGGGUGCGUAGGCGGGUCUUUAAGUCAGGGGUGAAAUCCUGGAGCUCAACUCCAGAACUGCCUUUGAUACUGAGGAUCUUGAGUUCGGGAGAGGUGAGUGGAACUGCGAGUGUAGAGGUGAAAUUCGUAGAUAUUCGCAAGAACACCAGUGGCGAAGGCGGCUCACUGGCCCGAUACUGACGCUGAGGCACGAAAGCGUGGGGAGCAAACA
rnacentral:rRNA from 1 species